rnacentral:rRNA from 1 species
GACGAACGCUGGCGGCGUGCUUAACACAUGCAAGUCGAACGGAAAGACCCUGCUUUUGUGGGGUGCUCGAUUGGCGAACGGGUGAGUAACACGUGAGUAACCUGCCCUUGACUUUGGGAUAACUUCAGGAAACUGGGGCUAAUACCGGAUAGGAGCUCCUGCUGCAUGGUGGGGGUUGGAAAGUUUCGGCGGUUGGGGAUGGACUCGCGGCUUAUCAGCUUGUUGGUGAGGUAGUGGCUUACCAAGGCUUCGACGGGUAGCCGGCCUGAGAGGGGGACCGGCGACAUGGGGACUGAGAUACGGACCAGACGCCUACGGGAGGCAGCAGUGGGGAAUAUUGCGCAAUGGGCGGAAGCCUGAUGCAGCAACGCCGCGUGCGGGAUGACGGCCUUCGAGUUGUAAACCGAUUUCGCCUGUGACGAAGCGUGAGUGACGGUAAUGGGUAAAGAAGCACCGGCUAACUACGUG